ensembl:lncRNA
CCUCUCUGGAGCUGGCUCAUUCCUCUUCUCUAGUUGCACAUUAAGUUUCUCCAGCAUGAAGGCUGAGCUUGGCCAGUUCAGAACUACUCUAGCUGCAAGAGGAGGCUUCUGAGGAAGAUUGAGGAAAGAACAAGCUGUGAACCGCCCGUGUGUGUACUCGAGGCUACUCCAGUUCCGGUUUCCAGCCCCUGUGAAGAGGAAGCAGAUCUGGAUGGAGAAGUCUCAGCUCCUUCUCCAGCACCAUGUCUGCCUGCAUGGCACCGUGCUCCCUGCCAUGAUGGACUCAACCUCCAAAACUAAGACAGUCCCCUUCUGCUGCCUGUGGAUCGAGAUGUGGAACUCUCAGUUCUUCCACCACCAUGCCUGCCUGCACGCUGCCAUGCUGUCUGCCAUGAUGAUAAGGGACCGAACCUCUGAAACUAUGACAAGCAAAUGGAUAUUCCGAUAAGAGGAGGCAAUAUGAAAUGCUCCCCUUGUUUUUGGGUGGCCGCAGAAGCCUACAACUGCUGGUGGAGACGGUGUUACUUGUGCAGCUGAGGUACUGCCUUCGGACCCCGUCUCGCCUCCUCUUUCCGGAGCAAGUCUACAUGCUCCUCCAAGUUAAGGGUCGAGUCUUUUUUGUCCUGUGUUCCCAGUACGGAAGGCACUAGUCCUGGUACAAUGUAGUGUGCAAGCAGUGUUGAUUCCACUGAACUACAGAGCUCUGCAGAGCCUGAGUGUCCACGCCCCUAAACCUCAAGCGAGACCCGGCCUCGGGAAAGCUCAGUAUUGGCUCCCGGAGGGACCCGAAACCGAGGUGAACUGCGGAAAGGAAACUUGCAUCGAGCCUGAACUCAGUUUCCGUGGCAACUACCCAGGGGCGUGGCCACUGUCAGGACGUCUCUAUGGUUUCUACGUCCUAGAGGGGCUUAAGUGCACUUCCU